GUUUCAAAAAACUGGAAAUUACUACAAAGCUAUAGAGCUUCACGAAAAAGCUCUAGAAAUUCAAAAACAAUCGUUAGGUCCAAAUCAUGUUGAUGUCGCUAGGUCUUUAAACAAUCUUGGUACUGUGUAUUCUAAAACUGGAAACUACGACAUAGCUCUAGAGCUUCACGAAAAAGCUCUAGAAAUUCAAAAACAAUCGUUAGGUCCAAAUCAUGUUCAUGUCGCUAGGUCUUUAAACAGUCUUGGUACGGUUUUACAUGAAACUGGAAACUACGACAAAGCUAUUGAGUUUUACGAAAAAGCUCUCGGAAU